rnacentral:rRNA from 1 species
GACGAACGCUGGCGGCGUGCCUAAUACAUGCAAGUCGAGCGGACUAAUGGGAGCUUGCUCCCAUUAGUUAGCGGCGGACGGGUGAGUAACACGUGGGCAACCUACCUGUAAGACUGGGAUAACUUCGGGAAACCGGAGCUAAUACCGGAUGACAUAAAGGAACUCCUGUUCCUUUAUUGAAAGAUGGCUUCGGCUAUCACUUACAGAUGGGCCCGCGGCGCAUUAGCUAGUUGGUGAGGUAACGGCUCACCAAGGCGACGAUGCGUAGCCGACCUGAGAGGGUGAUCGGCCACACUGGGACUGAGACACGGCCCAGACUCCUACGGGAGGCAGCAGUAGGGAAUCUUCCGCAAUGGACGAAAGUCUGACGGAGCAACACCGCGUGAGCGAUGAAGGCCUUCGGGUCGUAAAGCUCUGUUGUUAGGGAAGAAUAAGUGCUAGUUGAAUAAGCUGGCACCUUGACGGUACCUAACCAGAAAGCCACGGCUAACUACGUGCCAGCCGCCGCCGUAAUAC